CAACCUACCCUUGGGUCCGGCAUAAUCCUGGGAAACUGGGAUAAUUCCGGAUAACGCAUAUGUGCUGGAAUGCUUUAUGCGUCAAAGGUCCUCCGCCUGAGGAUGGGUCUGCGGCCUAUCAGGUAGUAGCGGGUGUAAUGUACCUGCUAGCCGACGACGGGUACGGGUUGUGAGAGCAAGAGCCCGGAGAUGGAUUCUGAAUCCAGGCCCUACGGGGCGCAGCAGGCGCGAAAACUUUACAAUGCGGGAAACCGUGAUAAGGGGACACCGAGUGCCAGCAACAUUUGCUGGCUGUCCACGUGCGUAAAAUGCACGUGUUAGCAAGGGCCGGGCAAGACCGGUGCCAGCCGCCGCGGUAACACCGGCGGCCCGAGUGGUGAUCGUUAUUAUUGGGUCUAAAGGGUCCGUCGGGAAAUCUGUCAGCUUAACUGAUAGGCUAUCGGGGGAUACUGCUAGACUUGGAACCGGGAGAGGUAAGAGGUACUACAGGGGUAGGAGUGAAAUCUUGUAAUCCCUGUGGGACCACCUGUGGCGAAGGCGUCUUACCAGAACGGGUUCGACGGUGAGGGACGAAAGCUGGGGGCACGAACCGGAUUAGAUACCCGGGUAGUCCCAGCCGUAAACGAUGCUCGCUAGGUGUCAUGCAUGGUGCGACCGUGUAUGGUGCCGUAGGGAAGCCGUGAAGCGAGCC
rnacentral:rRNA from 1 species